rnacentral:rRNA from 1 species
AAUAUUGCACAAUGGGGGAAACCCUGAUGCAGCGACGCCGCGUGAGUGAAGAAGUAUUUCGGUAUGUAAAGCUCUAUCAGCAGGGAAGAAAAUGACGGUACCUGACUAAGAAGCGCAGGCUAACUACGUGCCAGCAGCCGCGGUAAUACGUAGGGGGCAAGCGUUAUACGGAUUUACUGGGUGUAAAGGGAGCGUAGGUGUCGAGUCAAGUCAGAUGUGAAAGACCGGGGCUCAACACCGGGAUUGCAUUUGAAACUGGUUUGCUAGAGUGCAGGAGAGGUAAGUGGAAUUCCUAGUGUAGCGGUGAAAUGCGUAGAUAUUAGGAGGAACACCAGUGGCGAAGGCGGCUUACUGGACUGUAACAGACACUGAGGCUCGAAAGCGUGGGAGCAAACA